rnacentral:lncRNA from 1 species
CUGACUAGUACCUAUAGUUCAUAAGCACCCUACAUUCUACUUAACUGAUCAAAAUUAACAGCCUAUGACAUCCAUAUUUUCAAAUUGAAGCUAGUUGAUGUACUCCCAUAAUGCCGACAGAAGUAGCUGCCCAUAUUAUUCCUGCAUAUAAACAAGGUUUGGAUUAGUAAAUGAUUGGCUAGAAUAAAGUUUUAAGUAAUUAAAGUCUAGCAACCUCUAGAUAAGCAA